AUUGAACGCUGGCGGCAGGCCUAACACAUGCAAGUCGAGCGGAGCGGCUGACGGGUGAGUAAUGCAUAGGAAUCUGCCUGGUAGUGGGGGAUAACGUCCGGAUACGGGCGCUAAUACCGCAUACUAUCAGCUCAGCCUAGGUCGGAUUAGCUCGUGGGUGGGGUAAAGGCCUACCAAGGCGACGAUCCGAAACUGGUCUGAGAGGAUGAUCAGUCACACUAGAACGGAGACGCUGUCAAGACUCCUACGGGAGGCCGGAGUGGGGAAUAUUGGACAGUAGGAGCAAGCCUGAUCCAGUCAGGCGGCGUGUGUGAAGAAGGUCCUCGGAUUGUACAGCACUGUAAGUUGGGCGGCGGUACCAACAGCAUAAGCACGGACGAACUUAGUGCCAGCAGCCGCGGUAAUUC
rnacentral:rRNA from 1 species